rnacentral:ncRNA from 23 species
UCUUUGGUUAUCUAGCUGUAUG